UUCCGAGUAGCUCAGCGGUAGAGCAGCGUGCUGUUAACACGACGGUCGGUGGUUCGAUCCCACCCUCGGGAG
rnacentral:tRNA from 6 species